AUACCUUCUCGGCCUUUUGGCUAAGAUCAAGUGUAGUAUCAGUUCUUCUCAGCCUGAUCUCUGAGAUUAGGAACUAUUUGUUUCUAAACAGUUGAUUAGGAUGAUUUCUUGAGCCAAACUUCACUGUGAUCUACAUACAAAAGGGCUUGCUCUUUUGUAGAUUUACAACUCAAAUGAAUUUCGAUUUGUUUGAGCUAGUUGAAGUGGUGAUCCUAGUAUUGCAGUAUCUCUAGGUAUCGCCGGUGAAUU
rnacentral:snRNA from 1 species